rnacentral:rRNA from 1 species
AACGAACGCUGGCGGCAUGCCUAACACAUGCAAGUCGAACGAGACCUUCGGGUUUAGUGGCGCACGGGUGCGUAACGCGUGGGAACCUGCCCUUAGGUUCGGCAUAACUCCCCGAAAGGGGUGCUAAUACCGGAUAAUGUCUUCGGACCAUAGAUUUAUCGCCUUUGGUUGGUGCCGCGUUGGUUUAGUUUGUUGGUAGGUUACAACCCUACAACGGCGUCGAUCCAUAGUUGGUCUGUGAGGAUGAUCAGCCACACUGGGACUGAGACACGGCCCAGACUCCUACGAGAGGCAGCGGAUGUGAAUAUAGGAGAGUGGGCGAGAGGCUGAGCCAGCGAGGCCGCGAUAGUGAUGAAGGCCUUAGGGUUGUAUAGCUCUUUUACCCGGGAUGAUAAUGACAGUACCGGGAGAAGAAGCUCCGGCUAACUCCGUG